CCUACGGGUGGCUGCAGUGGGGAAUAUUGGACAAUGGGGGGAACCCUGAUCCAGCAAUGCCGCGUGUGUGAAGAAGGCCCUCGGGUUGUAAAGCACUUUCAGUGAGGAAGAACGCCUGGUGGUUAAUACCCAUCAGGAAAGACAUCACUCACAGAAGAAGCACCGGCUAACUCCGUGCCAGCAGCCGCGGUAAUACGGAGGGUGCGAGCGUUAAUCGGAAUUACUGGGCGUAAAGCGCGCGUAGGUGGCUUGAUAAGCCGGUUGUGAAAGCCCCGGGCUCAACCUGGGAACGGCAUCCGGAACUGUCAAGCUAGAGUGCAGGAGAGGAAGGUAGAAUUCCCGGUGUAGCGGUGAAAUGCGUAGAGAUCGGGAGGAAUACCAGUGGCGAAGGCGGCCUUCUGGACUGACACUGACACUGAGGUGCGAAAGCGUGGGUAGCAAACAGGAUUAGAUACCCCUGUAGUC
rnacentral:rRNA from 1 species